rnacentral:rRNA from 1 species
AUUGAACGCUGGCGGAAUGCUUUACACAUGCAAGUCGAACGGCAGCACGGACUUCGGUCUGGUGGCGAGUGGCGAACGGGUGAGUAAUGUAUCGGAACGUGCCCAGUCGUGGGGGAUAACGUAGUGAAAAUUACGCUAAUACCGCAUACGAUCUAUGGAUGAAAGCGGGGGAUCGCAAGACCUCGCGCGAUUGGAGCGGCCGAUAUCAGAUUAGGUAGUUGGUGGGGUAAAGGCCCACCAAGCCAACGAUCUGUAGCUGGUCUGAGAGGACGGCCAGCCACACUGGAACUGAGACACGGUCCAGACUCCUACGGGAGGCAGCAGUGGGGAAUUUUGGACAAUGGGCGAAAGCCUGAUCCAGCCAUUCCGCGUGCAGGAUGAAGGCCCUCGGAUUGUAAACUGCUUUUGUACAGAACGAAAAGGUUUCUACUAAUACUAGGAGCUCAUGACGGUACUGUAAGAAUAAGCACCGGCUAACUACGUGCCAGCCGCCGCGGUAA